rnacentral:tRNA from 2 species
GGGCUCUUAGCUCAGUUGGUAGAGCACUUCGCUUACACCGAAGUGGUCGGCGGUUCGAGCCCGCCAGAGCCCACCG